rnacentral:rRNA from 1 species
AUUGAACGCUGGCGGCAGGCCUAACACAUGCAAGUCGAACGAGUGGCGGACGGGUGAGUAAUGUCUGGGAAACUGCCUGAUGGAGGGGGGUAACUACUGGAAACGGUAGCUAAUACCGCAUACCAUCAGAUGUGCCCAGAUGGGAGUAGCUGGUGGGUGGGGUAACGGCUAACCAGGGCGACGAUCCCUAGCUGGUCUGAGAGGAUCACCGGCAACACUGGAAUGGAUACAGGGUCAGGACUCUGACGGGAGGCAGCAGUGGGGAAUAUUGCACAAUGGGCGCAAGCCGGAUGCAGCCAUGCCGCGUGUAUGAAGAAGGCCUUCGGGUUGUAAAGUACUUUCAGCGGGGAGGCGUUACCCGCAGAAGAAGCACCGGCUAACUCCGUGCCAGCAGCCGCGGUAAUUC